AGAGUUUGAUCAUGGCUCAGGACGAACGCUGGCGGCGUGCCUAAUACAUGCAAGUCGAGCGAAUCUUUGGGAGCUUGCUCCCAUUGGUUAGCGGCGGACGGGUGAGUAACACGUGGGCAACCUGCCUGUAAGACUGGGAUAACGCUUGGAAACGAGUGCUAAUACCGGAUAGUCUGCUUGGUCGCAUGACCGAGUAGGGG
rnacentral:rRNA from 1 species